AACUGAGGGGGUGGCUAGCAGCAAACAAGUAUGGAGCUAGCACAAGAGCUAAGAAAUAACCUCCAUCCCUACCCCUCAGCACACAACCCCUACGGUAACAGCACACUGAGCCCUGGCUCCCAAGGGCUGCCUCCUGACAGCUCCGUCAUGGCACUUUUUAACGCUUCAGCAACAAACACCAGGCAGCUGUUGCCACUGGCCUCCUACCCCCUACUCUGGGGCUUGGGGGUCAACUCCCCCCAGGACUUACCUUCCAAAACAAACUUUCUUCACUUUGUAUUAUAGGUACAAGACAGCGACUUACGUAUCUUUUCUCCUCCUCCCUAGUGUUCCUCCCCAUUUUUUCAGAAAACACUUCUGACUCCUGUCCCUUCCCCUUCUGCUUUUGGUCAGUCCCUGUUCUUGAGCCUCUUUUCUCCUCUCCCCAGGAUGCAGAAAGUGGUGAACCCAGGAACUGAGGAAGGAGGUUUCCAGUUCAUUUACAUUAAGGGCCCUGGGGGAGAAUAAAGCUCAGAGCAGGAGGGAGUAAGGAAACAUUUCCUUUUUGUUUUUAUUUGGUUGGAGUUUCUCAUAUUUGAAAACAUUGCGGUAUCCAUGAUUUGGCCUUGUGGAGGGUGUUCCUAGGUAGAGGUGAGAAUGGGGAGGCAAGAUCUCAGGCACCAGGCAGGAGGUGCCUUGUAAGCUAACUGGGCGGAGGUGGAGGUGCAGUGUCAACUGUGGCUCUGUAACUCUUCAAAGGCCCAGUUUCCCCUCACGCAGCCUCUUAGGUAGCGUUUCCCCUAAUCGUGGGGGUUGGACCCCAGAGUCUUCCAAAGAAUUUUCACUGGUUGCCUGCAUCUUUGGCUCUGCUGUGAUCUGAUUGGAGGAGGGACAGUUUCUGGUACCCAUCCUCUGAUUUAUACAUAUGCAUUUUUUCCCCUCUGGCCUUUAGAUGGCCUCAGCCCCAGCCACCAUAUACCCCUGCAGUUUGCACUUUAAUUGAUGGUAGUUCAGUUGGGGUACUUGUUUUAUGGAAGUUUUGAUUGAUUUACUUGCCCUCCCACCUUCUUUUUAAUUCAAUGAAAUCUGAGGUUAAUGCGAGGUUCGAGGAGAGGUUAUAGAUAAAACUACCAGUGGCAGCUACUCAAGUCCUAUCUCCACUGUUAGCUUCCUCCAACUCUAAUUAUUAACCUAUAUUCUUGCCAAGCUAACUAUUGACUAUAGGUUUGCCUUUCCUGGAGAAUUAAUUGAGCAAUUGAGGAGUGUCUCAGGAUAGCACAGGCCAAGGUAGGGGAGUAAAAAGGAGGUCAGGCAAAAGGGAGGAGUUUUCUGUCCUUUCCCAGGUUUCACACUCAAUUUGAUAUCCAUUACCAUGUCUUUUCUACUUCCUUGUAAAUAGGUAUGAUCUUUAUUCCCACUGUACAGUCUGUUCUAUCCUCUGCCUCCCAUCAGGCCCUGUUUCUUUGUUCCUUUGUUAAUAUCUUGAAUUUAGUCCCUCCAUCCUUAAUCCCCCCAUCCCUCCCCAUCAUGCAACCAGUGGUUUAAUCCAUGUACCAAUAGGGGCUAGUACCACAGAGGCCUCCUGUGGUGCCCUCGUAUCAUACCACCUGUUCCUGUGGAGAGGGAAUGACCGGCACUGAAGGUACCUUACAACUGGCUCAUAUUAUCAGAGGACCUUGGUCCUUUCUAAAUCUCUAGUCUCUCUUCAUAUCCUUCAUCAGGUGUUUUAAGAUGUCUCUGAGAAGCCAUCAAGGCAAAAGAGAACUUUAAGUUCCUUGUUCCAGCCCGGAGUUUUGGGAAAGAAAGAAAGGAAAGGUCACAGUGACCUAGGAUUGGAACCUUCCUGCCCUUUUGGCUUGCAGACUGCCUUCUAUCCCAGAACAGCUGAGAAAUCUAUGAAGCUGAGAUUCUGAAGGACCCAGCUUAGGUUCUUCCACUUAGGCCUCAAUUCCCUUCCUUUUCCAGGGGCAGCCUUAGUUCCCAUGGCCCUGAAACACACACAUUUCCCCCUUCCUUUCCCAGAAGCCACUGGCCCCCCAUAGCACCCAGUGCAUCCUUUUUACAAGUGGAAGAACUAGGAUGGCUUUCCAAAGUCUUCUAGAAAUGAAGUUCUUUCUCUGUGCAGCUUUCCCCCUUGGAGCAGGAGUGAAGAUGUUUCAUUAUCUUGGGCCUGGGAAACCACUUCCCCAGGCUUCUCCCUCCCCCCACCCCCAUAGGAACAGGAUUUGGCCUUAGCUUCUGGGCCUAUCGGCUGCCUUCCCUCUACUUCCUACCACCUCUUCUGCCUUCCUUUGAGCUCUGUUGGGCUUGGGGAUCUUAGUUUUCUUUUGUUUAUUUCCCAGCUCAUUUUUUUCUUCUGGUCAGUUUUUUUAAGGGGGGGUGUUGUGGUUUUUUGUUUUUGUUUUGCUUCUGAGAAAGCAUUUGCCUUUCUUCCUCUCCCAACAUAACAAUCGUGGUAACAGAAUGCGACUGCUGAUUUACCGAUGUAUUUAAUGUAAGU
rnacentral:lncRNA from 1 species